UACGAAGGGGGGUAGCGUUGUUCGGAAUUACUGGGCGUAAAGCGCACGUAGGCGGAUUGCUAAGUCAGGGGUGAAAUCCCGGGGCUCAACCUCGGAACUGCCUUUGAUACUGACAAUCUCGAGUCCGGAAGAGGUGGGUGGAAUUCCUAGUGUAGAGGUGAAAUUCGUAGAUAUUAGGAAGAACACCAGUGGCGAAGGCGGCCCACUGGUCCGGUACUGACGCUGAGGUGCGAAAGCGUGGGGAGCAAACAGG
rnacentral:rRNA from 1 species